rnacentral:misc_RNA from 1 species
UCCGGCUUGUGGCCGACAGUCUCUUUAGAGUGCUGCCUUGCGGCUUAGCAACUAAAGAUAAGGGUUGCGCUCGUUGCGGGACUUAACCCAACAUCUCACGACACGAGCUGACGACAGCCAUGCAGCACCUAUAUAGCGGCCCUUGCGGGCGCCGACCUUUCAGCCGACUUCCACUACAUUUCGAGCCCAGGUAAGGUUCUUCGCGUUACGUCGAAUUAAACCACAUGCUCCACCGCUUGUGCGGGCCCCCGUCAAUCCCUUUGAGUUUCAGCCUUGCGGCCGUACUCCCCAGGCGGGAUGCUUAAAGCGUUAGCUGCGGCACGGGGGGGGUCGACACCUCCCACACCUAGCAUCCACCGUUUAGGGCGUGGACUAC